UAGGGAAUCUUCCGCAAUGGGCGAAAGCUUGACGGAGCAACGCCGCGUGAGUGAUGAAGGUCUUCGGAUCGUAAAACUCUGUUAUUAGGGAAGAACAAAUGUGUAAGUAACUAUGCACGUCUUGACGGUACCUAAUCAGAAAGCCACGGCUAACUACGUGCCAGCAGCCGCGGUAAUACGUAGGUGACAAGCGUUAUCCGGAAUUAUUGGGCGUAAAGCGCGCGUAGGCGGUUUUUUAAGUCUGAUGUGAAAGCCCACGGCUCAACCGUGGAGGGUCAUUGGGAACUGGCAAACUGGGGUGCAGAAGAGGAAAGUGAAUUUCCAUGUGUAGCGGUGAAAUGCGCAGAGAUAUGGGGAAACACCAGUGGCGAAGGCGACUUUCUGGUCUGUAACUGACGCUGAUGUGCGAAAGCGUGGGGAUCAAACAGG
rnacentral:rRNA from 1 species